AAAAAUUAAUAGUCCAAUACCUAGCAAAUUCUUAGUGAAAACAUGAAGGGGUAAGGGAAGCAAAAGAACAAUAGACGAAAAGCAUGAUCUAGUUGGAUGAUUUUACAUGCUAGAGUCCCAAGACCACUCUCUGCGCAUAAUCGGGUCGUCUUUUGCUGGGCAUGCGAAUAAUCCCUGUAAUCUGGAGCUCCGUAACUGCCUUACAAAACCGUGCUUGAAUUGCUGCUUCACUUAGCUUUGCAGGUUCAGUCGUAACUUUCCUUUUCUUUGGCGAUGGAGAAUGCUUUAGCCGAUGUUUCCCUUUAUCACUAGAGCUCAGAAUUACCAUUUUGAAUGAUUGAUACCAGUCAUGCAGAUUAAUAAGAUCGCCAUGUUCCUGAGCCAAGGUAUGCAUAAUUGAGGAAUCGUGCAUGGAUGGCAACAGGGUAUUGCCAUGCCUGCGACAGCAGCUGCACUGAAUGAUGUUGUGGAAUUCAAGAAGAUCAACUUGAAUCCUUCUUCUUGGGUCUCCAAUUAAAGCUGCUUGAAGUUUGUCAACAUUCUUAAAGCAGACAACUUCGUGGAAAGCUAUGCACUCAAGUGGCUGCAUAUAUUUUCCAACCAUAAAUUCUGCUAGUCUGGCAGCUUUCUCACUUGCUGCUUUGGAAUCCUUCUCUAAAUUCAAAUGGCUCCAAGAUGCAGGUCUCUUGGACAUUUCAAUCAAAUCUCGUUUCAAACUCUUGCUAUCCUCAAAUUUCACCAAUGAUAGCAACUCCUUCACUUUGUCAUGGAUCUCAGGGAUAUCAACCGUAUGUUUCUCCCAACCUUUAAGUAAUGUGCAUAGCUGCAUUGCAGGAAGAUCCCUCACCUUGCGUAUUGCUUGACAGAUAAAACCACCCUUUUGUAAACUAGCAUAUUUUUUAUGCAUAUCUUUAUUGCUUGGAGAUACUGUGGAAUCUUUCUGUAAGCCCUUGCGAGUAUCAGAAACCCGUAAUAUGCCUGACUCUGGAUCAAGGGCCUCACAGAAUAAGUCUAAUAGUUGGAUUUUAUCACACUUUCCUGCUUCAUGCAUGCACAAAAGUACAGUGCUCCACUGAUUCUGCAAUUUCUUCAAUUCUGAUAACCCAUGGAGCAAAGUGUCAAAAUUCCGUUCGCCUAUUUUAUUUCUAUAAGAUGGAAGGUCAAAAGCUCGCUCGAGCAACACUUCUGGUGGCAAUCCAUAAUUUUCACCUUGUAACACCUGGCUGUCCUCUUCAAGAAGAAACCGUAAGAGUAUGAAGCUUAGAGGUUCCAUGGAGAAAUGUUGAGCACAUGCUAUCUUUAAAGCUCUUAUGAAAGAUGUUAUGGUCCCAUCCUGGCUUACAAAGUAAUUUCUCAUAAAAACAGCCACCUUAUGGCCUAUUCUGAACCCAGAACACUGCUUCACAAGAACAGCCUUAACAAUUGCAUCCAUUCUCUCAGAAGGGCUUCCCAAUAUGAACUUACAAGGGCACAAAUGAUGUAGUACAUUUGAAGGAAGUGUAUUUCUCAGGGCAUCAAGUGUUGUUGCAACUCCCAUUAUUAUAAUCACAGGGAUUUUGAACACCCAUUCACUCAACAUAAUGAUGAAAUCAGACAAGACUUUCCCACAACAUCGCUCCAAAUCAUCUAUGAUUAUAACAACCGGAUUAUUACAGUUUCCUUGUUCUCUGUACCAUGUAGCUAAGAUAGAUAUAUCAUGUGCAUCCAAAGUAACCAUUACAAGUUGUCUCAGUAAACUUCUUAGACAACCACCAAUACCAUUUUUCACCGAGAAAUCCAGUGAGGAGAGAUUGGCGACAAGGUAUCCUUGAGAUUUCAAAUGUAAGCCAAGCUCCUCAAAUGUCAGUAGAUCAUCAACAAACUCCAUAUUCUUGGUAAGAACCAACCCAGUGAACACUUGCUUAGAAGUAGCAUCUUUCACAACAGGAAAAGGUUGUGUUGCCUCGGGAAAAGAAGGUGUUCCAAACGAUUUAAUGGUGUUGAAGGACUCAUGAACCCACCGUUGUAUCUCAUUGAACACACCAAUAUUAAGAUUCCUCAAAACAUCUUUAAUGGUUGACUCCAUUUUUGACCAAACAGACUCAAAAGCUUCCAUUCGCUUGUUGACAUAUCCAUGAUCGUCGCCCUCAUCAGCCUUCUCAACCUCUAAAUUCUCAACACUCUUAGGUAGUGAAGGAGAUAAAUCAAUACGCCUCCUGGUUUUUGCUGUUCUGGAUGACUUUUUAUUGGAUUUCUGAGAUGAAGCUUGAUGCAGAACAAAGAAAGGCUGAAGAUUGUUCUCGGUGAUGUCCGGGGCUGCAGGAGUUGGCGAAUCAGUUGCUGCUGCAGCGGUUGUCAUUUUCAGAGAGCGAAGAAGGAGAGGAGAAACUUUCUCUAUCGUUAGGGUUUUAGCAGGCUGCCCAAG
rnacentral:misc_RNA from 1 species